rnacentral:rRNA from 1 species
AUGAAUGGUGAAAGGAAGGUCCAUUGGGUAGCUUGGCAGAAAAUGUGUGCUAGCAAGCGCGAUGGUGGUAUGGGCUUCCAGGACCUGGAGGUCUUCGACCAAGCCUUGUUGGCCAAGCAAGCAUGGUGUAUCCUCAGUUCCUACUUCUCUAUGUGCGCGAGUGCUCAAAGCAUGGUAUUCAAGGAUGACACAAUAUCGUCGACCUCUUGCCUGUCGUUUGGGUCAUACACAUUUCGAAGCAUAUUGCAUGGCUGGGAUCUACUGAGGGAAGGACUUAUAUGGAGAGUGAGUUCAAGCGCGAGCAUUAACAUCCAUCACGACCCAUGA